rnacentral:lncRNA from 1 species
CCAUUUUGGUAUAUUUUAAAAGUGGCCUAGAUAACUUUCAAUUUUUUUAAAAAACAUAAGCCCAUUACUUUUUUUCUUAAUACUACUAUCCUUGUUUUCAAACAAAAAUAUUUUUUUUUAAAAGACUGCAAUCCAUGUUUCCAAACACUCCAAAUUUUUAAAAGUCCUAUUCAAGUCUCCAAACACUCCAAUUUUGUACUUGAGUUUUAAUAAGA